rnacentral:rRNA from 1 species
GACGAACGCUGGCGGCGUGCUUAACACAUGCAAGUCGAACGGUGAAGCUCCAGCUUGCUGGAGUGGAUCAGUGGCGAACGGGUGAGUAACACGUGAGCAACCUGCCCCAGACUCUGGAAUAAGCGCUGGAAACGGCGUCUAAUACUGGAUACGAGAUCAAGCCGCAUGGUUAUGGUCUGGAAAGUUUUUCGGUUUGGGAUGGGCUCGCGGCCUAUCAGCUUGUUGGUGAGGUAAUGGCUCACCAAGGCGACGACGGGUAGCCGGCCUGAGAGGGCGACCGGCCACACCGGGACUGAGACACGGCCCAGACUCCUACGGGAGGCAGCAGUGGGGAAUAUUGCACAAUGGGCGAAAGCCUGAUGCAGCGACGCCGCGUGAGGGAUGACGGCCUUCGGGUUGUAAACCUCUUUCAGCAGGGAAGAAGCGAAAGUGACGGUACCUGCAGAAGAAGCACCGGCUAACUACGUG